AUACUUACCUGGCGUGGAGGAUACCGUGAUCAAAAAGGCGGUUCCUCCAGGGUGAGGCUCUUCCAUUGCACUACGGUUGAGCUGACCCCUGCGAAUACCCCUAAAGUGGGUAUCUCGGACGUAUAAUUUUUGAUAGUCGGGAACAGCGUUCGCGCUAUCCCGGU
rfam:Apis mellifera strain DH4 linkage group 1, whole genome shotgun sequence.